UACGGAGGGGGCGAGCGUUAUUCGGAAUUAUUGGGCGUAAAGGGCGCGUAGGCGGCUUGUCAAGUCAAAGGUGAAAUCCCUCGGCUCAACUGAGGAACUGCCUUUGAAACUAGCGAGCUUGAGGCCGGGAGGGGGUAGCGGAAUUCCCAGUGUAGCGGUGAAAUGCGUAGAUAUUGGGAGGAACACCAGUGGCGAAGGCGGCUACCUGGACCGGUUCUGACGCUGAGGCGCGAAAGCGUGGGUAGCAAACAGG
rnacentral:rRNA from 1 species